UCAGAAUCAGCUGAGGGAGACUUAAAAGAUAUACCUGUGCCAAAUUCCAACCCUUUACCAUUUGAAAAUUUCUGCCAGGGACCCAGGUAUUACUAAAACCUAUGAGUGGUGGCAUGACCCCUGAUAAACUACUUCCCAUAGAAUCUCCUCCUCUUCAGUGUGUAUAGAAACUGAGCUACUUCUAACCAUCAAUUAUGGCAAAGGAGUCUCAGAGCGAUAAACCAAGAGAGGUCUUAUCUUGAGGACACCACUCGCAUUAGUACAUAUCAAUAAGCCUCGUCUAGUCCAUCCCACCCAUAAAGUUCUCUUUAUGGUGAUAAGAGCAGAUGCCAUAGAAGAGUGAAAUGGAUGACAGCUAG
rnacentral:lncRNA from 1 species